AACGAACGCUGGCGGCAGGCCUAACACAUGCAAGUCGAGCGAGGACUUCGGUCCUAGCGGCGGACGGGUGAGUAACGCGUGGGAACGUGCCCUUUGCUUCGGAAUAGCCCUGGGAAACUGGGAGUAAUACCGGAUGAGCCCUUUGGGGGAAAGAUUUAUCGGCGAAGGAUCGGCCCGCGUUGGAUUAGGUAGUUGGUGGGGUAAUGGCCUACCAAGCCGACGAUCCAUAGCUGGUUUGAGAGGAUGAUCAGCCACACUGGGACUGAGACACGGCCCAGAAUACUACGGGAGGCAGCAGUGGGGAAUCUUAGAAAAUGGGGGAAACCCUGAUCGAGCCAUGCCGCGUGAGCGAUGAAGGCCUUAGGGUUGUAAAGCUCUUUCAGCUGGGAAGAUAAUGACGGUACCAGCAGAAGAAGCCCCGGCUAACUCCGUG
rnacentral:rRNA from 1 species